GUCGAACGAUUAAAGCUCCCUUCGGGGAGUGCAUAGAGUGGCGCACGGGUGAGUAACACGUAAGUAAUCUACCUUCGAGUGGGGAAUAACAGUCGGAAACGACUGCUAAUACCGCAUAAUGCAGCGGCAUCGCAAGAUGACAGUUGUUAAAGAUUUAUCGCUUGAAGAGGAGCUUGCGGCAGAUUAGCUAGUUGGUAAGGUAACGGCUUACCAAGGCUACGAUCUGUAACCGGUCUAAGAGGACGGUCGGUCACACUGACACUGAAUAACGGGUCAGACUCCUACGGGAGGCAGCAGUCGGGAAUUUUGGGCAAUGGGGGAAACCCUGACCCAGCAACGCCGCGUGAAGGAUGAAGUAUUUCGGUAUGUAAACUUCGAAAGAAUAGGAAGAAUAAAUGACGGUACUAUUUAUAAGGUCCGGCUAACUACGUGCCAGCAGCCGCGGUAAUACGUAGGGACCAAGCGUUGUUCGGAUUUACUGGGCGUAAAGGGCGCGUAGGCGGCAAUUCAAGUCAUCUGUGAAAUCUCCGGGCUUAACUCGGAACGGCCAGAUGAUACUGCUUUGCUAGAGUGCAGAAGGGGCAAUCGGAAUUCUUGGUGUAGCGGUGAAAUGCGUAGAUAUCAAGAGGAACACCUGAGGUGAAGACGGGUUGCUGGGCUGACACUGACGCUGAGGCGCGAAAGCCAGGGGAGCAAACGGGAUUAGAUACCCCGGUAGUCCUGGCCCUAAACGAUGAAUACUUGGUGUCUGGAGUCUUUAAUGCUCCGGGUGCCGUCGCUAACGUUUUUAGUAUUCCGCCUGGGGGAGUACGCUCGCAAGAGUGAAACUCAAAGGAAUUGACGGGGA
rnacentral:rRNA from 1 species